rnacentral:misc_RNA from 1 species
UAAAUGCGAUAAGUAGUGUGAAUUGCAGAAUUCAGUGAAUCAUCGAAUCUUUGAACGCACAUUGCGCCCUUUGGUAUUCCAAAGGGCAUGCCUGUUCGAGCGUCAUUUGUACCCUCAAGCUUUGCUUGGUGUUGGGCGUCUUGUCUCUAGCUUUGCUGGAGACUCGCCUUAAAGUAAUUGGCAGCCGGCCUACUGGUUUCGGAGCGCAGCACAAGUCGCACUCUCUAUCAGCAAAGGUCUAGCAUCCAUUAAGCCUUUUUUCAACUUUUGACCUCGGAUCAGGUAGGGAUACCCGCUGAACUUAAGC